rnacentral:rRNA from 1 species
GACGAACGCUGGCGGCGUGCUUAACACAUGCAAGUCGAACGGAAAGGCUCCAGCUUGCUGGAGUGCUCGAGUGGCGAACGGGUGAGUAACACGUGGGCAAUCUGCCCUGCACUCUGGGAUAAGCCUGGGAAACUGGGUCUAAUACCGGAUAGGACCUUUCUCCUCAUGGGGUUUGGUGGAAAGUUUUUCGGUGCAGGAUGAGCCCGCGGCCUAUCAGCUUGUUGGUGGGGUAAUGGCCUACCAAGGCGACGACGGGUAGCCGGCCUGAGAGGGUGAUCGGCCACAUUGGGACUGAGAUACGGCCCAGGCUCCUACGGGAGGCAGCAGUGGGGAAUAUUGCACAAUGGGCGAAAGCCUGAUGCAGCGACGCCGCGUGAGGGAUGACGGCCUUCGGGUUGUAAACCUCUUUCAGUAGGGACGAAGCGCAAGUGACGGUACCUGCAGAAGAAGCACCGGCUAACUACGUG